GAAAGAAAGAAGGGGUUAGGAGGAAACGGGAAGCAGAGAGGGGGAGAGGGACAGAGAGCAGCGGUGUGAGAGGAAGAGAGGGAUGAGGCAGCACCGGUGGACCUUGCUGCCGCCGUCGUGCUGAGCCGUCGCGUUCUGCACCAUUGUACACUAAAGAAAGAGAGAGAAAUAGAUCAGGCAGGAAUCAAGGGACCGAAGGUGGAGGGAGUGCGGCAGGGGAAGCCAUCGCUGCCAGUCACCGUCGCAAGGCUCUGCUGCAUCCCCACCGCGCCUGGGUGUUGUCGAAGCCACUCCUGCUAUCGCUGCUACUAGGGUCUGCCGCCGUCCUGUCCCUGGAGCCUGAGCCGCGCAUCUGUCACCGAACCAGAGGAGCUCAUCCUUGUUGAGUCGCCGCCAUCUUGCCUCUGCCGGCAAGCACGAAGAGAGAGGGAGACGGGAGUUUGCACAGAAGAGAGAGAGCGCGACAGGGGAGACCACCAACGCCUGGGUCGCCGUCGCCGGGCCUCCUUGUCGUCGCCAGUAUUGAAGUCAGCCACUACCACCAUCGAGUUGUUGGGGCUGGUGCUUCUUUUGGAAGUUUGAAUGGGAGACUUGCUCAGUUCUGCCUCUGCUCUUGAUUCUCGCCACUGUCGGAGCCUCCGCCAUCAUCGGGAUUGCUGUUCAGUUAGUGCCGCUGCCUGGGUCGCUGCGGUACCAGCCACGGUGAUGGAGCUACUCUGUUUAGUGAUUUCUGUGAGUCUUGACGCUGAGUUGAUUCACCGGAGCUUCUGGCCGCCGCCUGAGCUGCUGCUGGGCCGGUUCGAAAUCGCAGCUGCUUCGUGUUGAAAUUUCAAGCUGUUUAUGCUGCUGCGAAAAUGUGUGGGACUGUGCUUAGGAACUGCCGUUGGUUUUGAGUCGAGGCGAAUGGAUUUCUGAGAGGCGUUUGGAGUAUAGUUUCAAUUUGUCGAGGAUUUGGGCGCAGAAGUUAUGAAGAGUUUAAUUAUUUGUUAUUGAGAUGCUCUGUAUUGCUUAGAUUAUUCUUUUUGUACCCUCACCUUUAUCUUGAUAUAUUCUAUGAGAGGGAUAGGAAUUGUACUGGAUAAUGUUUGUAAUAUUAUUUAUAUAUAUGUAUGUAUAUAUAUAUGGAUGUACUCUUUAUGAGUUUCUGUAAGUUGUAUGGUAUGUAUGGACGUACGUUGUAUGGCGAAAGUAUUUUUGGGAAUGGUAUUGCGGUUUAAAGUUUUUAAA